UAAAAGGAGAUUUUUAUCUUUCUCUCCUUUUUUUUUUCUUUUUUUGAGAGGGAGAGAGAGAGCACAUGUGCAAGAGAGCCAGGAGAGGAGGGAGAGAGAGAGAGAGAGAGAGAGAGAGAGAGAGAGAAUCUUAAGCAGGCUCUAUGCUCAGCAUGGAGCCUAAUGCAGAGCUCGAUCCCAUAAUCCUGGGAUCAUGACCUCAGCUGAUAUCAAGAGACAGGCACUCAACUAACUGACUGAGCCACCCAAGCGCCCCUGAGAUUUUCUCCGUUGUACCUGGACUGUGUGACUGGCUGUGUGCCUGGAGGACGGUUCCAUCCCCAUCGGCGUUGCACCUGCUCCUAGAGGCCCCGGAACACCCAGCUGCACUUGCAGUGCGGCUGGAAUCAGACUUGCCACCUGCACAGUCAAGUGCCGGACCCCCGGGAGCACCACUGGACCCAUCUCUUACACAGGCUGACCGAUUUCUCCUGGUGUUCAGAGUCUGUUUUUGUCUAGCACCAUUUGAAAUCGGUUAUGAUGUAGGGGGAAAAGCAGCAGCCUCGAAACCUCACGCCAAGCCUGGUGAGCAACAGCCUCUGUUCUCCUGGAAGACGUGGUCUCCCGGAAGACGGAUGGGCAGAAGGUGGGGAAGGACGAUCACGCUUUUUUCACUAACUUCUUUCACUGUAUUAAUGAUACAUUAUUGCAGAGGUAAAAGAGAAUUUAACAUAGUUUUGAAACAAAUCACUAUAAUGUUUAUGAUGUCCUGGGGUGCAUUUUGCUAAAAUGUGGCAGUGCUGUAUAUUCUGUAAAUGGCUGCUGUCCAAUUCUCUUUCUGUUAAGAGUCCAUUCAUGCGGGCUUUCAGUCGGUCGGACGUCUGAUUCUUGAUUUCGGCUCAGGUCAUGAUCCUGUCUCUGUCCCUUGCUUGUGUAUGCUCUCUCUCUCAAAAUAAAUACAUAAUUUUUUUUUUUUUUUAAAGAAGAGUCUAUUCAUGCAUCCUGACCUGAAUAUUUUACUCUAUGUUUCCAUUUCUUUGUGUUCUUCUUCAGUUUCCUUUCUAAGCUUUCUAUAGUUUUCAGCAUAAAGAUCUUUUACAUCUUUGCUCAGGUUUAUUCCUAGGUAUUUUAUAGUUCUCGAUGCAAUUGUAAAUGUGAUCAAUUUCUUCAUUUUUCUUUCUGUUGCUUCAUUAUUGGUGUAUAGAAAUGCAAGCAAUUUCUGUACAUUGAUUUUGUAUCCUGCAACUUUGCUGAAUUCGUGUAUCAGUUCUAGCAGACUUUUGGUGGAGUCUUUCAGGUUUUCCAUGUAAAGUAUCAUGUCAUUUUCGAAAAGUGAAAGUUUGACUUCUUCAUUGCCAAGUGGGAUGCCUUUUAUUUCACUUUGUUGUCAGAUUGCCGAUGCUAGGACUUCCAACACUAUGUUCAACAACACUGGUGAGAGUGGACAUCCCCAUUGUGUUCCUGAUCUCAGGGGAAAACUCUCAGUUUUUCCCCAUUGAGGAUGAUAUUAGCUGUGGGCUUUUCAUGUAUGGCUUUUAUGAUGUUAAAGUAUGUUCCUUCUAUCCCAACUUUCUUGAGGGUUUUUAUUGGGAAAGGAUGCUGAAUUUUGUCAAAUGCUUUUUCUGCAUCUAUUGACAGAAUCAUAUGGUCCUUAUUCUUUCUUCUAUUAAUGUGAUGUAUCACGUUGAUUGAUUUGUGAAUAUUGAACCAGCCCUGCAACCCAGGAAUGAAUCCCACUUGAUCAUGGUGAAUAAUUAUUUUAACAUACUGUUGAAUUUGAUUUACUAGUAUCUUGUUGAGAAUUUUUGCAUCCAUAUUCAUCAGGGAUACUGGCCUGUAGUCUCCUUUUUAGUGGGAUCUCUUUCCGGUUUGGGAAUCAAUGUAAUGCUGGCUUCAGAGAAUAAGUCCAGAAGCUUUCCUUCCAUUUCUAUUUUUUGGAACAGCUUAAGAAGGAUAGGUAUUAACUCUGCUUUAAGUGUCUGGUAGAAUUCCCCUGGAAAGCCAUUUGGCCCAGGACUCUUAUUUGUUGGGAGAUUUUUGAUAACUUAUUCAAUUUCUUCACUGGUUAUGGGUCUGUUGACAUUUUCUAUUUCUUCCCAUUUGAGUUUUGGUAGUGUGUGGGUGUCUAGGAAUUUGUCCAUUUCUUCCAGGUUGUCCAGUUUGUUGGCAUAUAAUUUCUCAUAGUGUUCUCUAAUUGUAUUUCUCUGGUGUAGGUUGUGAUCUCCUCUUUCAUUCAUGAUAUUAUCAGGGUUCUCUCUUUUCUUUUUGAGAAGUCUGGCUAGGGGUUUUUCAAUUUUGUUUAUUUUUUCAAAAAGCCAGCUCUUAAAUUCAUUGAUCUGUUCUACUGUUUGUGUUUUGUGUUUUUUGUUUUUUUUUUAUUCUACUUUGUUUAUUUCUGCUCUAAUCUCUAUUAUUUCUCUUCUUCUGCUGGCUUUGAGAUCUCUUUGCUUUUCUGCUUCUGGUUCCUUUAGAUUUGUGGUUAGGUUUUGUAUUUGGGAUUUUUCUUGCUUCUCGAGGUAGGCCUGAAUUGCAAUGUAUUUUCCCCUUAGUACUGCCUUUGCUGCAUCCCAAAGGGUUUGGACUGUUGUGUUUUCAAUUUCAUUUGCUUCCAUAUAUUUUUAAGUUGCUUCUUUAAUUGCCUGGUUGACCCAAUCAUUCUUUAGUAGGAUGUUCUUGCAUUUGGAGGCUUUCCAAAAAAAUUUUUUGUGGUUGAUUUCAAGUUUUAUAGCAUUGUGAUCUCAAAAUAUGCAUGGGAUGAUCUCAACUCUUUUAUAUUUAUUGACAGCUGUUUUGUUACCCAGUAUGUGAUCUAUCUUGGAGAAUGUUCCAUGUGCUCUCAAGAAGAAUGUGUAUUCUGCUGCUUUUGAAUGAAAAGUUCUGAAUAUAUCUGUCAAGUCCAUCUGGUCCAGUGUAUAAUUCAAGGCCAUUGUUUCUUUAUUGAUUUUCUGCCUAGAUGAUCUGUCCAUUGUUGUAAGUGGAGUAUUAAAGUCUCCUGCAAAUACUGUAUUCUUCUCAAUAAGAUCGCUUAUGUGUGU